GAUGAACGCUAGCGGCAGGCCUAACACAUGCAAGUCGAGGGGUAGACAUCUUCGGAUGUUGAGACCGGCGCACGGGUGCGUAACGCGUAUGCAAUCUACCUUAUACUAAGGGAUAGCCCAGAGAAAUUUGGAUUAAUACCUUAUGGUUAAUUAAAAAGGCACCUUUUUAAUUAUAAAGAUUUAUUGGUAUAAGAUGAGCAUGCGUCCCAGUAGUUAGUUGGUAAGGUAACGGCUUACCAAGACGAUGAUGGGUAGGGGUCCUGAGAAGGAGACCCCCCACAACGGGAGUGAGGAACGGACCAGCCGGCUACGUGGGGCAGCAGUGAGGAAGAUUGGACAAUGGAGGCCACUCUUGACCCGCCAUGCCGCGUGCAGGAUGAAGCAUCUAUGGUGGGUAAACUGCUUUUGUACGGGAAGAAAAAAAGCUACGUGUAGCUUACUGACGGUACCGUAAGAAUAAGGAUCGGCUAACUCCGUGCCAGCCGCCGCGGUAA
rnacentral:rRNA from 1 species